rnacentral:rRNA from 1 species
AGUGGCGAACGGGCGAGGAAUGCGUUUCUAACGUGCCCCAAGGUCGAGGAUAGCUCGGGGAAACCCGGGGUAAUACUCGAUGACCCCCAUGGAUCGCAUGGUUCGUGGGGCAAAGGCUUGCUGCCUUGGGAUCGGGAAACGCCCUAUCAGGUUGUUGGUGAGGUAACGGCUCACCAAGCCUAAGACGGGUAGCGGGUGUGAGAGCAUGACCCGCCGCAUCGGGACUGAGACACUGCCCGGACUCCUACGGGAGGCUGCAGCAACGGAUAUUGGGCAAUGAGCGAAAGCUUGGCCCAGCAAUGCCGCGUGCAGGAGGAAGCCCCUCGGGGUGUAAACUGCUGUCAGGGUUUAGGAAGUUCUGACCAAACCCAAAGGAAGGGCCGGCUAACUUCGUGCCAGCAGCCGCGGUAAUACGAAGGGCCCAAGCGUUAAUCGGAAUCACUGGGCUUAAAGGGUGCGCAGGCGGAAUGGUCAGUGUCUUGUGAAAUCCCACGGCUCAACCGUGGAACUGCGGGGCAUACUGCCAUUCUUGAGGCCGGUAGAGGCCGCCGGAACUCUAGGUGUAGCGGUGAAAUGCGUAGAUAUCUAGAGGAACGCCAAAGACGAAGGUAGGCGGCUGGGCCGGUUCUGACGCUCAGGCACGAAAGCGUGGGAGCAAACAGGAUUAGAUACCCUGGUAGUCCACGCCGUAAACGUUGUGCACUAGGUGCUGGAGGUUCUGACACCAUCAGCGCCGAAGCGAAAGUGAUUAGUGCACCGCCUGGGGAGUACGGUCGCAAGGCUAAAACUCAAAGGAAUUGACGGGGGCUCACACAAGCGGUGGAGCAUGUGGCUUAAUUCGAGGCAACGCGAAGAACCUUAUCCUGGGCUUGACAUGCAUGGAUUAACGCUGGGAAACCAGCGCCACACUCUUUGAGUGGAACAUGCACAGGUGCUGCAUGGCUGUCGUCAGCUCGUGCUGUGAAGUGUUGGGUUAAGUCCCUUAACGAGCGAAACCCCUGUCGCUAGUUACCAUCAGGUAAUGCUGGGGACUCUAGCGAGACUGCCGGUGUCAAACCGGAGGAAGGCGGGGAUGACGUCAAGUCCUCAUGGCCUUUAUGCCCAGGGCUGCACACGUGCUACAAUGGCGCCGACAGAGCGAAGCAAAACCGCGAGGUAGAGCAAAUCGCAAAAAAGGUGCCCCAGUUCGGAUUGCAGUCUGCAACUCGACUGCAUGAAGCCGGAAUCGCUAGUAAUCGCGUAUCAGCAACGACGCGGUGAAUACGUUCCUGAGCCUUGUACACACCGCCCGUCAAGUCAUGGAAGCCGGGAGUACCCGAAGUCG